rnacentral:lncRNA from 1 species
AAAAAAAAAAAUCGAAAGGGGGGUGGGGGGGAAUCGUUACAGGCAUAGGUAAUUCUAUAAUAUAGAAAUGGAGGUUCUAAUGAAGAGAGAAAAGAUCAAGGAUAGAUUGGCAAAAUGCUAGACUGCAAUUGAUGUAUAAUUAAACCUGAUUAGCUCAAGCAGGCUAAGUGACUAUUUGUCGCCACCCCGUUUCGAAGAGGAUGCCAAUAAAAAUUAUUAUCAUAAUCAUCAUGAUCAUCGGAAACCUAUCGGCUCUUGGGCUUAGAAUGCGUUGGCACCCGUUCGCUCUUCUUAAUUUUUCAUUUCCGUCAACAUGAACCCCGUGCGGACGUGCGGGUGACGAUUGUCGAGAGAGAGAGAGAAAGCAGGGGGCUUGGCGGCCUCGAAGUGCCCCAAGGUUUAUCUCGACAGUUUCUUCGUGUUUAGUCAAAUAGACCACGGCGGAAGGAAAAAAAAAAAAAAAAACUAGAAGGGAGCAUGACUUUAGAGAUCUAGCCUCGGCAAGACAAGUUCCUCUGACGCCGCCACUCCUUCCCCUCAAGGCCUUUCUGCGCGUUGGCUUCUGGGAAAUAGGCCAUCCAUGGUUGCCGGACCUCUCGAGGCAUUGUCUGGUUUGUGACAACAUUUAGUGACGCCCCUGCCACAAUCGGCCCUCGCCACCCACUCUCCCCCACACUCUUCGUGCGCUUGGCGGCUAAAGAUCACCGAUUGCGGUGAUUUUUAGCCGGGCAUAUUUCCUCUGAGUCUUUCCUUUGUAUUUUUGUAUGACCAGACUUCAAAAUUGUCACGUGACGCUUCCUUCUAGUCUUUUACUCUAUGAUUUAGAUGCUCAUUUGAACCGUUGCGUAGAUUAUUUUACUUGGUAAACUUCGAAUUAGGCGGGAUAUCCUGAAUAUGCUCACCAGGGCGAGCGGCCUCCGCUCGAUAUCUGCUUUGAUUUUGCACUCAGUUUCUCCUGCACGUUUUCUCUCUCUUUCGCCACCCAUUUCCCCUAGCCCCCCCUCUUUCUUUUUUCUCUCCGCGGACGCGUUUGUAAACGCUUCGUUCUUCCAUGUGCAAAAAAAAAAAAAAAAAAAUCCACAAAUUCAGACAUUUAACGGGAAUGAUGUCCCGGAAGGCAUGCCCUGAGGCAUCAGCAGCAUAGAACGAUUUCGAAAGACCUAACCAUAGCAUAAGGCCGACAAAAGUGCUUCAGGACCCCUUUAACGAUGUAAUCUGAGCCUCUUAUAACACGUGAUACACCACACUCCCUGCUUAAUGUGAAUUCAGAACCUUUUUAUUUAAAACGAUUGCGCCUAGCUGCGAAGCAAGACAAAAAGUAUAGAUUAGAUUCAGUUUGUUAUUGUAUUUUUUUCCCGAGGGUUUGCCCUGCGGCAUAAAGUGUGCGAUGCAUGCAUAUUAUAUGUAAGUACGUGCACAGUUUGCUAUGUUCAAUGAAGUCCAACAGUUCAGAGGUCAAGUUUUCGCUGUUGUCAAAUUCUGAGCGUUUUAGGUAUUUUGGAAGCACCGCGCCACAUGUGCUGACCGUUGCAGCUUUAAAAAGAAAAGAAAAGAAGAAAGAUACGUGCUUGUUAUGCAUCAACGUGAAACGCUGCUUCCCAACCAUCAGCGCAUGGAGGCAGCGGAAGUUUGCUUAAAGUAUGAAAUACGCGGCUUUGCCUGGAAUACCAAGUGCUUCUUUGCCUCACUGUCCUUGUAGCUCUCACUAUAACCUGUGAAGUUGUUUCAUCGACGCCGACUUAUUACCGCGAUGGCCGCGGUUUGUGUUGUGAUGCGGGCACUGUGAACAUUUUUUUUUUUUUUUUUUUGCGCGGACACUGUCGCUGAGUUAUCGACAUUGAUGCAAGCCAUGUGAAGAGGAGUUGCCGGCGAAGGUUGGGGGAGGGGGAAGAAAGCGAGAAGAGUGCACGUUUUUUUCGCCGUUUGUUUAUCUAUAUAUAGAUAUAUAUAUAUACAGUUCAAAACAUAGGAGUCUUCUAUAGACGAAAGCGCAGAGUAGUUGGAGCGAGUUUGCAGGUUAUUUCCGUGUGAUCGACUCUCACCCAUAAUUCAGCGUCUUUUCAUACAUUCUCUCGUUCAGCGAGCGGUUGUUACAGCUCUGUCUUAAGACUUGUUAAGCCUUUUUCGAAAUAAAAGGAAAAGAAAGAACAAUAAUUUUUAAUCUGUG